rnacentral:rRNA from 1 species
CCUACGGGAGGCAGCAGUGGGGAAUGUUGGGCAAUGGGCGCAAGCCUGACCCAGCAACGCCGCGUGAAGGAAGAAGGCUUUCGGGUUGUAAACUUCUUUUCUCAGGGACGAAGCAAGUGACGGUACCUGAGGUAUAAGCCACGGCUAACUAAGUGCCAGCAGCAGCGGUAAUACGUAGGUGGCAAGCGUUAUCCGGAUUUACUGGGUGUAAAGGGCGUGUAGGCGGGGAGGCAAGUCAGAUGUGAAAGCCACGGGCUCAACCUGGAGCCUGCAUUUGAAACUGUGUUUCUUGAGUACUGGAGAGGCAGGCGGAAUUCGUGGUGUAGCGGUGAAAUGCGUAGAUAUUAGGAGGAACGCCAGUGGCGAAGGCGGUCUGCUGGACAGCAACUGACGCUGAGGCGCGAAAGCGUGGGGAGCAAACAGGAUUAGAUACCCCAGUAGUG